rnacentral:rRNA from 1 species
GACGGAGGGUGCAAGCGUUAUUCGGAUUUAUUGGGCGUAAAGAGCGUGUAGGCGGCCGGUCAAGCCAGAUGUGAAAGCCCAGGGCUUAACCCUGGAAGUGCAUUUGGAACUGGUUGGCUUGAGUUCGGGAGAGGGAAGUGGAAUUCCGGGUGUAGAGGUGAAAUUCGUAGAUAUUCGGAGGAACACCGGUGGCGAAGGCGACUUCCUGGACCGAAACUGACGCUGAGACGCGAAAGCGUGGGGAGCAAACAGG